UGGGGAAUAUUGCACAAUGGGCGCAAGCCCGAUGCAGCCAUGCCGCGUGUGUGAAGAAGGCCUUCGGGUUGUAAAGCACUUUCAGCGGGGAGGAAGGCGGUGAGGUUAAUAACCUCAUCGAUUGACGUUACCCGCAGAAGAAGCACCGGCUAACUCCGUGCCAGCAGCCGCGGUAAUACGGAGGGUGCAAGCGUUAAUCGGAAUUACUGGGCGUAAAGCGCACGCAGGCGGUCUGUCAAGUCAGAUGUGAAAUCCCCGGGCUUAACCCGGGAAUUGCAUCUGAUACUGGUCAGCUAGAGUCUUGUAGAGGGGGGUAGAAUUCCAUGUGUAGCGGUGAAAUGCGUAGAGAUGUGGAGGAAUACCGGUGGCGAAGGCGGCCCCCUGGACAAAGACAGACGCUCAGGUGCGAAAGCGUGGGGAGCAAACAGG
rnacentral:rRNA from 1 species